rnacentral:misc_RNA from 1 species
AAAUAGUCAAACUCGAAGAUGGUGUCCCACUGCGGGUAGCCAUGCACGUGUCAUUUAGCAAUUAACACUUUACCGACCGCUACCGAUUCAACAGCAUACGCACGUCCGACCGGCAGCUCAGGCGCAAAUUCUCCUUGGCGCCAGCUCUGUUUCGGUUUAGACUCUCGAAUACCAUUCUUUUCGUGCAUCGCGAACGAUGUUCGAAAUGGUUCCCUUGGAUUUCAAUACAGGCUGGCCAAGCCCACACAUCAGGCGCAUCUCUGCUAUUUCUUCAUUGGAAUAACGCAUAUUGGAAUAAUUCACGCUAUUCACACACAACGCGACGUAUUUCAAUAAUUUCAAUCCGCACUGUUCUCCUGACUCGUACGUACAUAGAUACUGACGAUACGAGAUAGCGUUUGUAAAAUUCGACUGGAAUACUGGGCGAAGGAUAUCAAGUUUUGUUUGUAAACAGUUCGGCAAGAAGAAUCGAGAAACACAACAUACGUCUAUCGAACUGCGAAACCAAAUCC